AUGGGCGCAAGCCUGAUGCAGCGACGCCGCGUGAGGGAUGGAGGCCUUCGGGUUGUAAACCUCUUUCGCCAGUGAAGCAGGCCUGCUCCUUGUGGGUGGGUUGACGGUAGCUGGAUAAGAAGCGCCGGCUAACUACGUGCCAGCAGCCGCGGUAAUACGUAGGGCGCGAAGCGUUGUCCGGAAUUAUUGGGCGUAAAGAGCUCGUAGGCGGCUGGUCGCGUCUGUCGUGAAAUCCUCUGGCUUAACUGGGGGCUUGCGGUGGGUACGGGCCGGCUUGAGUGCGGUAGGGGAGACUGGAACUCCUGGUGUAGCGGUGGAAUGCGCAGAUAUCAGGAAGAACACCGGUGGCGAAGGCGGGUCUCUGGGCCGUUACUGACGCUGAGGAGCGAAAGCGUGGGGAGCGAACAGGAUUAGAUACCCUGGUAGUCCACGCCGUAAACGUUGGGCACUAGGUGUGGGGGCCUUUUCCGGUCUUCCGCGCCGUAGCUAACGCAUUAAGUGCCCGCCUGGGGAGUACGGCCGCAAGGCUAAACUCAAAGGAAUUGACGGGGGCCCGCACAAGCGGCGGACAUGCGGAUUAAUUCGAUGCAC
rnacentral:rRNA from 1 species